UACGUAGGGGUCUAGCGUUGUCCGUAAUCAUUGGGCGUAAAGAGCGUGUAGGCGGCCCGGUAAGUCCGCUGUAAAAGUCAAAGGCUCAACCUUUGAAUGUCAGUGGAUACUGCCGGGCUAGAGUCCGGAAGAGGCGAGUGGAACUCCUGGUGUAGCGGUGGAAUGCGCAGAUAUCAGGAAGAACACCAACGGCGAAGGCAGCUCGCUGGGACGGUACUGACGCUGAGACGCGAAAGCGUGGGGAGCGAACAGG
rnacentral:rRNA from 1 species